rnacentral:rRNA from 1 species
UGGGGGAUAUUGCACAAUGGGCGAAAGCCUGAUGCAGCGACGCCGCGUGGGGGAUGAAGGCCUUCGGGUUGUAAACUUCUUUUGCUCUGAACAAGGCAUGCUAAUGGGUGUGUUGAGUGUAGGGGUUGAUUAGCGCCGGCUAACUACGUGCCAGCAGCCGCGGUAAUACGUAGGGCGCGAGCGUUGUCCGGAAUUAUUGGGCGUAAAGGGCUUGUAGGUGGCUGGUUGCGUCUGUCGUGAAAGCUCAUGGCUUAACUGUGGGUUUGCGGUGGGUACGGGCUGGCUUGAGUGCAGUAGGGGAGGCUGGAAUUCCUGGUGUAGCGGUGGGAUGCGCAGAUAUCAGGAGGAAUACCGGUGGCGAAGGCGGGUCUCUGGGCUGUUACUGACACUGAGGAGCGAAAGCAUGGGGAGCGAACAGG